rnacentral:rRNA from 1 species
UACGUAGGGUGCAAGCGUUGUCCGGAAUUAUUGGGCGUAAAGAGCUCGUAGGCGGUCUGUCGCGUCGGCUGUGAAAACUUGGGGCUCAACCCCAAGCCUGCAGUCGAUACGGGCAGACUAGAGUGCGGUAGGGGAGACUGGAAUUCCUGGUGUAGCGGUGAAAUGCGCAGAUAUCAGGAGGAACACCGGUGGCGAAGGCGGGUCGCUGGGCCGUAACUGACGCUGAGGAGCGAAAGCGUGGGGAGCGAACAGG